rnacentral:lncRNA from 1 species
AAAGGCCUCACAUGAGGACACAGUGAGAAGGCAGUCAUCUACAAGUCAGGAAGAGAGCCUUCACCAGAAAUGGAAUUUGUUGGCAUGCUGAUCAUGGACUUCCAGCCUCCAGAACUGUGACAAGAUAAAUGUCUGUUUUUGGCUGGGCAUGGUGGCUCACACCUGUAAUCCCAGCAUUUUGGGAGGACGAGGAUGUACUUUUAACUCUUGGAUCAGAACAGCAUGCCUGGGACUGGUCUUCAUGUAAGAAGCGGAGGGAAUUCCAGAUUGAAUUGAAGGACACCAGACAGUGAUCUGUGAUCAACGAUCUCCGAUGUUUCUGUGGUAAUUGUUUUGGGCAGCAUAGACCACACCUAUAUAAGAUGGUGAACUUAACUGAUCAAUGCUGGAUGGGUUCUGACUGAUCCACCGACCGACUUCCCCCUCUUUCUUCCUUUCCUCAGGCCUCCCUAUUACCUAAGAUACAAAAAUAUUGAAAUUAGGCCAAUUAAUAACCUACAAUGGCCUCUAAGCAUUCAAGUGAAAGAGCCACACAUCCCUCA